GAUCCCUGAGAAGAGCUCAGUUGAUUAGAGUCUGGUGCUAAUAACACCAAGUUUGUGGGUUCAAUCCCCAUAUGGGCCA